UACGGAGGAUCCAAGCGUUAUCCGGAUUUAUUGGGUUUAAAGGGUGCGUAGGUGGCUUAUUAAGUCAGGGGUGAAAGACGGUAGCUUAACUAUCGCAGUGCCUUUGAUACUGAUGAGCUUGAAUACAGAUGAAGUGGGCGGAAUGUGACAAGUAGCGGUGAAAUGCAUAGAUAUGUCACAGAACACCGAUUGCGAAGGCAGCUCACUAAAUUGUGAUUGACACUGAGGCACGAAAGCGUGGGGAUCAAACAGG
rnacentral:rRNA from 1 species